rnacentral:lncRNA from 1 species
GCGGCAUAUUCAAUUCACGGCUUGGAAUCACUCAUUGGAAGGUUUCAUGUAUCUAGAUACCCUCGGAGCCACAAAGCAUUGUGAGCUCCUGUCCUAUUGAGGGUCUGUAUGCCAAGUUGGUCGCCUGCCUUAUCUGUUGUCUUGGGCAUCAUAAGAAUAUGUUGGCAUCCACUGCAUCUCUCCGACAGUCCAAUCUGAUGAUGAUGUAACCACUCUGAGACUUUGCAUGGAGCUCCUGGGUUACUAUCUGUGUUUCCCCAACAUUUCCUGAAGUUUGCUGACAGAAAGGAGACUGCGGCUCUAAACAGGCUUUUCUGUGUACUAAACAGCUCUCAGCCCAUGGGAUUCCUCAAAGAGGGGUCUGAACUGUCA